CCCAAAUCUCCCCUAACCCUUUCGCCGCUGCCGUGAUCACUGUACUGUACAGUAUCGCUACUGUACAGUAUUGUACCAGAGAUCACUGUGAUCAGAGGGCUCUCUGAUCAGGCUGACAUUUUUGGGGGGUUAUUUUUAUUAAAAAAACAAAAAAAAUUCUAUAUCCCUAUUGGGUCAAAGAUGAUAAUGUGAGAGUGAUAUCUUUGCCCUUUAAACACCUGUAUUUUGUAAGUGGAUUAGAAGCAGACAAGAGGUUCAAGAACCGUUAUAAAUGGUGUUGGUUAAGAUUAAAACACUAUGCCUUUAAUGUAAACCUCACUGUGCUUUACUAAGGUUUAUUGACCAGUACUAUAUAUAUAUAUAUAUAUAUAUAUAUAUGUUAAAAUCUGUAACAUAAAGGUCCCCCUUUGGCAUUAAAGGGAUAAAUAACAACUGGAAUUUCAUGUCCGAAUGUGCAUGUAUAUAUAUACUUUGAUUUGAUCAGCGUCUGUAUAUCAAUUUUGUCUAGAUCUUAAUUUUAACGACAAAAAUAAAAAAAGUUAUUUUAGGAAAAAAAAAAAAAAAAAAAAAAAAAAUUAACCCUUUCUGUACUGGUCGCAGCAGCCUAAACUGCGAUCAGUACAUUUAUUUUAUUAUUUGUGGGUUUUUGAGGGUGGGUAGUAGGGUGUUAGGCAG